GGAGGUAAAAGUCGUAACUAGGUUUCCGUAGGUGAACCUGCGGAAGGAUCAUUAACGAGUAAAGUCCUUCGGGACUUUCUUAUCCAAACACCUGUGAAAAUUAAUUUUUGCUUUGGGAAUUUAAUUAUUCCCAACAAUCAAAACCACUGAGUUGUCUUUUGUCUGAAUGAUUAUUUAAAAAUCAAAACUUUCAACAACGGAUCUCUUGGUUCUC
rnacentral:misc_RNA from 1 species